GACGAACGCUGGCGGCGUGCUUAACACAUGCAAGUCGAACGGAAAGGCCCUGCUUUUGUGGGGUGCUCGAGUGGCGAACGGGUGAGUAACACGUGAGUAACCUGCCCUUGACUUUGGGAUAACUUCAGGAAACUGGGGCUAAUACCGGAUAGGAGCUCCUGCUGCAUGGUGGGGGUUGGAAAGUUUCGGCGGUUGGGGAUGGACUCGCGGCUUAUCAGCUUGUUGGUGGGGUAGUGGCUUACCAAGGCUUUGACGGGUAGCCGGCCUGAGAGGGUGACCGGCCACAUGGGGACUGAGUUACGGCCCAGACUGCUGCGGGAGGCAGCAGGGGGGAAUAUUGGACAAUGGGCGGAAGCCUGAUGCAGCAACGCCGCGUGCGGGAUGAGGGCCUUCGGGUUGUAAACCGAGUUCGCCUGUGACGAAGCGUGAGUGACGGGAAUGGGUAAAGAAGCACCGGCUAACUACGUG
rnacentral:rRNA from 1 species